UAUAUAUAUAUAUAUAUAUAUAUAUAUAUAUAUGUAUUUUUGUGUGUGUAUUUGAACAUGUUAUACAUAUUGAUAAAAACUGCUUUUCUCACAUUUAUUUUUUAAAAAUAUUAUUACCAUUAUACUUGUAGUAGAAUAAUUUUCAAAAAAAUACUGUUGCAAAAUGAAAGAAAUGACAUAGAGAAAUAUAAUUACAACAUAUACCUUUUGUUAUCUUUCUUAAAAAACCCUAACAUUAAUGAAGCAACACAAAAAACAAUUGACUUAGACGUGUUGCGAACUCGAAUCGAUAAAGAUAAUGAGAAAACAAUUUAUUUUUUUAAUUUGUUUUUAAAUUAUGUAUGUAACAACUUUCAGUUUAAAUAUAAACAAGGGUUAAAUGAAAUACUAGCAUUUUUUUUUUCUCUUAAAGGAAAAUACUUUAACAUGGUUGAUGUUUAUUUCUGUUUUCAAAAUUUUGUUAAAGGAUUUGUUAAAGAGUUUUAUUAUGAUGAUGAAUUUUUUUUUUUGCAAGUCUCCUUUUAUUUGUUUAAAAUUUUGAUAAAGUAUCAUGAUCCGCAGUUAGCUGAAGUAUUAGAAACUAACAAUAUGAGUCCUGAAAUAUAUGCCUCGUCCUGGUUUUUAACUUUGUUUGCAUCCAAAAGCAACAUUGAUGUUUUAAAUUCGAUAUAUUUAAUUAUGUUGUUGGAGCGUAAUCCGUUUUUUUAUUUUUUUUUUUCAUUAGCACUUCUAAUACUUCAUAGAAGCAUUUUUUUAUGCAUUGAUAGUUCUAAUUUACCAGAACUGUUAUGUAAAAUAAACAUUUUUAAUAAAAAAAAUUUUAAAAAAAGUAAAAAAAAAAAUAUAUACAAAUAUAUACAUAUGCAUUAUUGAAAAUAUAAACAGUAUGUAAAAAAAUCACUUGUUAUUCUGCUUACUUAUAUUUAUAUGUACAUAUAUAUAUAUGUGCCUAUAUAUGGAUUU
rnacentral:lncRNA from 1 species